GCAGGGCAGUGGGGCCAGGUUUCUGGGGAAGCCCCAAACCCUUGGUGGUGUGUCCGGAAUUGGUGGGUUCUUGGUCUCACUGACUUCAAGAAUGAAGCCACGGACCCUCACGGUGAGUGUUACAGUUCUUAAAGCAGCACGUCUGGAGUUGUUCGUUCCUCCCGGUGGGCUCGUGGUUUCGCUGGCUUCAGGAGUGAAGCUGCAGAUCUUCGUGGUGAGUGUUACAGCUCAUAAAAGCAGUGUGGACACAAAAAGUGAGCAGUAGCAAGAUUUAUUGCAAAGAGCAAAAGAACAAAGCUUCCACAGUGUGGAAGAGGACGUCAGCAGAUUGCCGCUGGUGGUUCGGGCAGCCUGCUUUUAUUCUCUUAUCUGGCCCCACCCACAUCCUGCUGAUUGGUAGAGCCCAGUGGUCUGUUUUGACAGGGCGCUGAUUGGUGCAUUUAUAAUCCCUGCGCUAGAUACAAAGGUUCUCCACUUCCCCAUCAGAUUAGUUAGAUACAGAGUAUGGACAGGAAGGUUCU
rnacentral:lncRNA from 1 species